rnacentral:rRNA from 1 species
UACGGAGGGUGCGAGCGUUGUUCGGAAUUACUGGGCGUAAAGCGCGCGUAGGCUGUACUGAAAGUCGGGGGUGAAAGCCCUGGGCUCAACCCAGGAAUUGCCCUUGAUACUGCAAGUCUGGAGUACGAGAGAGGGGGGUGGAAGUCCUAGUGUAGAGGUGAAAUUCGUAGAUAUUAGGAAGAACACCGGUGGUGAAGGCGGCCCACUGGAUCGGUACUGACGCUGAGGUGCGAAAGCGUGGGGAGCAAACAGG